rnacentral:lncRNA from 1 species
GGCUGGAGUGUAGUGGUACGAUCUUGGCUUACUGCAACCUCCACCUCCUGGGUUCAAGCGGCCCUGUCAUCUCAGCCUCCUGAGUAGCUGGGGUUACAGAGCUCCUUUCUGACAACUUGCAAUUGAUCCAACAUUUGAAACCUUAUGCAGGAGCCGGACAGCUUGGUUUUGAAUUAUAAUCUUACAAAUUACUGGCUGUGUGUUAAAUCUUUAAAUUACUGGCUGUGUGACUUUGUGUAAGUACCUUCACUUCUCUGUGCCUUAGUUUAUGUUAUGUAAAAGGUAUGAUAAUAGUAUCUAUCUUGGAAUUUAGUUUUUAAAUAUAAAAUUUAUAUAUCUACAACAGCUGAAUAAGUGUUAUCUAUCUUUAUUACCAUUGCAAUUAUUAUUAUAAUUAUUUGUAUAUGUCGGGCUCAUAAAGCUCUUAGCUUUGCAAAACUGUCUGAGAAAGUUUGCUUUUCUUUGCAUUCAUUGGGAAAUUAACUUUUCUACACAAUAAUGUUUUUAAGGCAUGGACCUGUAAAAUGUUUAAUUGGUGUGGCUUCAAAGUAUAGAAAUUGUAAAGUAGGAAAUAAUUAUACACAACUAUCAAACCAAUAAUAAAG